rnacentral:lncRNA from 1 species
AGCCAGCAACUCUUACCAUGGAAAAGGGUCCAACAGUCUUAACGUCAGAAAAAAUGGACACACAAAUGUUAAGCGCAUGUAACUGUACCACAAUACAGCCACUAUUGUCUUCUUAUUAAAGCGCUCAAUCCUCGCCUCCGCUGGUGUCAUCUUCACGAACGACGGCAUAUAUCUGCAUAUGAAAGGAACACAACAAAAUCAUUGUUUAGGCAGGAACACAUAGUUGUGAGCAUGUUACGUACAAUGACGGCUGUAGGUGUGACACCAGCAUAACGUGCCUCGAAAUAAGGCAAUAAAAAACAUUUAGUUAAUAGCCAUGGUCUUACAACCAGAGGCUUCAUACCUCCGAACGGCCGCUACGUGGCCUGCCACGUCCUGCCACGUCCCGUUUCAUAUCCUUACCACCAUCCUUGCGCUUGUCCUGUUCCUUGCGAUUCUCCUGCUCGUAUCCUUGGAAUGUAAAAUGGCAAGGCAUAAUGUCAGUGUAUGCACCUGCAUGAUGGCCACUUACUGCCGGUGCCGUCUAGUCCCCCUUUUCCUGCUUUCCCCUGCUUGCCUGCGAAUGAAUGGGCGCCAUUAUAGAGGAAGAAAGACAGAUUCUUGUUAUGAAGAUGCUAAUUCAUUGGGCUUUACCUUACACUGUCGUCAUUGGAGGAUCAGCGUGAGUAUAAGG